rnacentral:rRNA from 1 species
GUGGGGAAUAUUGGACAAUGGGCGAAAGCCUGAUCCAGCCAUGCCGCGUGUGUGAAGAAGGUCUUCGGAUUGUAAAGCACUUUAAGUUGGGAGGAAGGGCAGUAAGUUAAUACCUUGCUGUUUUGACGUUACCGACAGAAUAAGCACCGGCUAACUUCGUGCCAGCAGCCGCGGUAAUACGAAGGGUGCAAGCGUUAAUCGGAAUUACUGGGCGUAAAGCGCGCGUAGGUGGUUUUGUAAGUUGGAGGUGAAAUCCCCGGGCUCAACCUGGGAACAGCAUCCAAAACUGCAUGACUAGAGUACGGUAGAGGGUAGUGGAAUUUCCUGUGUAGCGGUGAAAUGCGUAGAUAUAGGAAGGAACACCAGUGGCGAAGGCGACUACCUGGACUGAUACUGACACUGAGGUGCGAAAGCGUGGGGAGCAAACAGGAUUAGAAACCCCUGUAGUCC